rnacentral:rRNA from 1 species
ACUCCUACGGGAGGCAGCAGUGGGGAAUAUUGCACAAUGGGGGAAACCCUGAUGCAGCCAUGCCGCGUGUGUGAAGAAGGCCUUCGGUUGUAAAGCACUUUCAGUAGGGAGGAAGGUAGUGUAGUUAACACCUGCAUUAUUUGACGUUACCUACAGAAGAAGCACCGGCUAACUCCGUGCCAGCAGCCGCGGUAAUACGGAGGGUGCGAGCGUUAAUCGGAAUUACUGGGCGUAAAGCGCAUGCAGGCGGCCUGUUAAGUCAGAUGUGAAAGCCCGGGGCUUAACCUCGGAAUUGCAUUUGAAACUGGCAGGCUAGAGUCUUGUAGAGGGGGGUAGAAUUUC